AUGCUCCUCUGUUGCAUACUUGCCUGAAGUUUCCUUGUUCCAGAGGGAUAAAGCCUAUCAAAUUCUAAUUUGACAAAGCCCUAAAUUGAGUGCCAGCUACUAGGUGGGUAUUUAAGUGUAAAUCAGAGGUCACACUUAAAAUACAGGCUUUAUUCAUAUUUCUUAUUGAUAUUUACUGAAAAAUGCCAGUACCACUUAAAAUAGUAUGAGUGUUUAACUCUACUCAGCUUCUAUGUUUGUGGAGUAAUAGCAUCUCAGUGCUUUAAGAAACCAAGUGUUAAUCUCUGCACUUCACAAAAAACAACCAACCAACCAACCACUCUGUGCCUGGGGAAAACAGACUUCAAUCUACUAUAUCAAAAGGCUAUCAACUCACCUGCAACUGGGUGAAACACACCAAUAGUCCCUUGCACUUCUCGCCUGCUUUUUGAGUGUGAGCUAGAGAACAGCAAAUGUGGCCAGCUGCUCUGUCAGAUAACAGGCUCAAUAGACUUUCAAUUCCAUCUACUACGUGGCAGAUGGCCUCUAUCCUACCCUUUGUCCCCUCUGCUGCUGCCUGGAGUCGAAGAGAGGACAGCUAUGCUUCCCUCCUCCCACAACUAUAAGUUACUUGCAGGGGGAUCAGAAGUGCUGCAUUGAACCAAUGUAGGUCUAGCUACUGCCUCUUGGGGAGGUGGAUUACCUAUGCUGAUGUGAGAACCCUACCCGUCAGUGUAAGUAGUGCUUACAUUGAAGCAUUAGUACAUAAGAUUAAUUAUGACUUGGUGGGAUAAAUCUCAUGACUGGGAUAUUGGCAUAGAGAGGCAUAGCUUGUUCAGGAAGACCAGGCAAGAGGUGUUGCAUUAUACAUCAAGAAUAUAUACACUUGUUCUGAGAUCCAGGUGGAGGUGUGAGGCAGACCAGUUGAGAGACUCUGGGUAAAUAUAAAGGGGGUAAAAAAAAAAUUAGGGGUGAUAUCAUGAUAAGGGUCAGCCAUAGACCACCAAAUCAGGAAGAGAAGGUGGAAGCAAUUUGGAUGAAAAUCAUCAUGAAAUGUUAGAUUUAAUGAUUUUAAGAAAAAAGGAAGGAGUGAGAGCAGCAGAAUAAGGACAAUGAACUU